GGACGUGCUUGCACGGACUUGACGUUGGUUUACCAGCGAGUGGCGGACGGGUGAGUAACACGUAGGUAACCUGCCCCAAAGCGGGGGAUAACAUUUGGAAACAGAUGCUAAUACCGCAUAACAAUUUGAAUCGCAUGAUUCAAAUUUAAAAGAUGGUUUCGGCUAUCACUUUGGGAUGGACCUGCGGCGCAUUAGCUUGUUGGUAGGGUAACGGCCUACCAAGGCUGUGAUGCGUAGCCGAGUUGAGAGACUGAUCGGCCACAAUGGAACUGAGACACGGUCCAUACUCCUACGGGAGGCAGCAGUAGGGAAUCUUCCACAAUGGGCGCAAGCCUGAUGGAGCAACACCGCGUGAGUGAAGAAGGGUUUCGGCUCGUAAAGCUCUGUUGUUAGAGAAGAACGUGCGUGAGAGCAACUGUUCACGCAGUGACGGUAUCUAACCAGAAAGUCACGGCUAACUACGUGCCAGCAGCCGCGGUAAUACGUAGGUGGCAAGCGUUAUCCGGAUUUAUUGGGCGUAAAGCGAGCGCAGGCGGUUUGAUAAGUCUGAUGUGAAAGCCUUUGGCUUAACCAAAGAAGUGCAUCGGAAACUGUCAGACUUGAGUGCAGAAGAGGACAGUGGAAUUCCAUGGGU
rnacentral:rRNA from 1 species